AGUGAACGCUGGCGGCAGGCCUAACACAUGCAAGUCGAACGGCAGCACAAGAGAGCUUGCUCUCUGGGUGGCGAGUGGCGGACGGGUGAGGAAUGCAUCGGAAUCUGCCCAUUUGUGGGGGAUAACCUCGGGAAACCGGGACUAAUACCGCAUACGACCUACGGGUGAAAGCAGGGGAUCCUCGGACCUUGCGCAGAUGGAUGAGCCGAUGCCGGAUUAGCUAGUUGGAGGGGUAAAGGCCCACCAAGGCGACGAUCCGUAGCUGGUCUGAGAGGAUGAUCAGCCACACUGGGACUGAGACACGGUCCAGACUCCUACGGGAGGCAGCAGUGGGGAAUAUUGGACAAUGGGCGCAAGCCUGAUCCAGCCAUGCCGCGUGUGUGAAGAAGGCCUUCGGGUUGUAAAGCACUUUUGUUGGGAAAGAAAAGCAGCCGGUUAAUACCCGGUUGUCAUGACGGUACCCAAAGAAUAAGCACCGGCUAACUUCGUG
rnacentral:rRNA from 1 species